rnacentral:ribozyme from 1 species
GCUGCUCAAAUAUGCUACCUCUCCGUGGUGAGCAGUAGGUAACGAGAGCUCCCUCUCGGCUAAAGCAUAU